rnacentral:rRNA from 1 species
GACGAACGCUGGCGGCGUGCUUAACACAUGCAAGUCGAACGGUGAAGCGCCUUCCUUUUUGGUGGGUGUGGAUGAGUGGCGAACGGGUGAGUAACACGUGAGUAACCUGCCCCCUUCUUCUGGAUAACCGCAUGAAAGUGUGGCUAAUACGGGAUAUUCUGGGUCUGUCGCAUGAUGGGUCUGGGAAAGAUAUUGUUUCGGUGGGGGAUGGGCUCGCGGCCUAUCAGCUUGUUGGUGGGGUGAUGGCCUACCAAGGCGGUGACGGGUAGCCGGCCUGAGAGGGUGAAGGGUCAAAGGGGGAUGAGGCAACGGCCAGGAUUCUAAGGGGGGGAGGCGGUGGGAAAAAUGGAGAAUGGGCGCAAGCCUGAUGCAGCGACGCCGCGUGAGGGAUGGAGGCCUUCGGGUUGUGAACCUCUUUCGCCAGUGAAGCAGGCCUGCCUCGUGUGUGGGUGGGUUGACGGUAGCUGGAUAAGAAGCGCCGGCUAACUACGUG